GUGUCAGCAGCCGCGGUAAUACAGAGGUCCCAAGCGUUGUUCGGAUUUACUGGGCGUAAAGGGUGCGUAGGAGGCUUGGAAAGUCAGGUGUGAAAUCUCGCCGCUUAACGGCGAAAUGGCGCUUGAUACUCCCGAGCUAGAAGAUCGGAGGGGAGAACGGAAUUCCUGGUGUAGCGGUGAAAUGCGUAGAUAUCAGGAGGAACACCAACGGCGAAGGCAGUUCUCUGGACGAUUCUUGACUCUGAGGCACGAAGGCCAGGGGAGCAAACGGGAUUAGAAACCCUCGUAGUCC
rnacentral:rRNA from 1 species